rnacentral:hammerhead_ribozyme from 1 species
GUCUAGUUGACGAGUCCCAAAUAAGACGAAAUGCGCAUCUUGGGU